rnacentral:lncRNA from 1 species
GUUUUGUGUCAAAACAAAACAAAAAUAAACUUUGUUAUCUUUGUGUAAAUCUGAGUUCAUUAUCCCCUUCCUCCUUCAUUCAUUCCUUUCUUCCCAUCAUCCUUGGUAACACCUUUGCUGGUCUAGUUUGCUUACCUGUUUGGGUGAUACAAAUCUAAUCUCUGAGAAGCUGGGGUACCAUUACACCAUGCUCUUCUCAAGCUGUACCUGUUGGGCUUGUGCAUUUAUGGUCAAAGAGUAGGUGAAUAUCAGGGGACACACCAAAACAUGCACUUGUUACUAAAAGCAUUCUUCCCUGUCUUCAUUGUAUAAAGGAACUCUACCUGUUUCUGAUUAUUAGCUUUACUGAUCCUUGCUGGGAUUCUGACUUAUGUCUGUUUGUCUUUUAGCAUCAGGAAUCUGACAUGACCAGAUGGUGGCUUAUCUAAUGGUUUAAUGGGACUCUUGCUCUGCUCCUUGUUAGAAACAUCUUAACUAUAAGGAACAGCAACUGUAAACCCACAGGGCUCAGAGUUAUAGUGAUGAAGAGGACAAAUUCUCUAAGAGACUCACUGGAAUUGAUGGUCAAGGAUCUACUCCUGUUCUUACUGUUCUACCUUUCGGCAAAAGGUCCAUUCUGUUAUUGUAGGAGCACUACCACCAAUAUUGAGAAUGUCUCUUCAUUUGGGCGUGCAUAUUCCCUGGAACAAUGUCCCUUGUUGUAAUAGGAGGAAAAUGAUUAUGAGAAAACUCAAGGCAAAAUUGAUCAGAUAUUACGACCUGCAUUCUGUACAGCAUGUUGACCAUGGAAUACUAAUAAACCAUUUC